CAGCAGCCGCGGUAAUACGUAGGGUGCGAGCGUUAAUCGGAAUUACUGGGCGUAAAGCGUGCGCAGGCGGUUUUGUAAGACAGAUGUGAAAUCCCCGGGCUUAACCUGGGAACUGCAUUUGUGACUGCAWGGCUAGAGUAUGGCAGAGGGGGGURGAAUUCCACGUGUAGCAGUGAAAUGCGUAGAKAUGUGGAGGAAYACCGAUGGCGAAGGCAGCCYCCUGGGCCAAUACUGACGCUCAUGCACGAAAGCGUGGGGAGCAAACAGGAUUAGAUACCCUGGUAGUCCACGCCCUAAACGAUGUCAACUAGUUGUUGGGGAUUCAYUUCCUUAGUAACGUAGCUAACGCGUGAAGUUGACCGCCUGGGGAGUACGGUCGCAAGAUUAAAACUCAAAGGAAUUGAC
rnacentral:rRNA from 1 species